rnacentral:lncRNA from 1 species
UUCAUUUCCCCUUUAAAAAAAUGUUUUCUUUAAAGAAUACUUUAUUUCUCUUUACAAACAAUUUACUCAGUUCUUCAUUUCUGCCAAAGAUGUGAUUAGGGCAGUUUUUCAGCCGACAAAGAUUUUUUGCCCUAGCAAGCUAAUCAAUUCAUUCCGACGUAAAUUUGUGCGACAUAGACCGUUUCUCCGUCAAGCACCCUAUCUAUUUCUCUGUUGAAAAUGACCCGUAAGUAUUUUUUUUAUUUGGUAUCCUCACUCUCUUUCUCGAAGCUAUUGGUGUAGUAUCUUCAUCUUGUAUGUGAUAUGACUGCUUGUGCAUUUCCAUUGGUUUCCUCAUGUAAGUAUUCUUUAUUGUUUUCCAGAUGAAAGGUUAUUUAUCAUAUUGGGUGAGAAAUCUAAAUUAUAAGUUUUUAGGACUAAUCAUUUUAUUACUUCUUUAAGGGCGUGUAUUUCAUUUAGUGUAACUCUUGAUUGAACCUGAUGUAUCAUGUUCUAACAUUUAUAAUUUUACUAUUUCUGAUUUCCUAUCGUUUGAUUUUAGGUUUGGAAUAGUUUUAAUUUUUUUUAAACUUAAAUUUGUUGUUUCUCUAGCUAGAAUUCAACCGUACAAUUUUAGGAGUAGUUACUUCUCUUACAUGGUUUUUAUAGAGAUGCUGGAUAGAUCAAUAUAUUUUUCGAGUUUUGAAUACCGAUUAAGAGUCAGAUUUGAAUGAAAUUAGUAUGGUUGAACUCGUAAUUGAAUAGGUUGUCGGAUUUUGUGAGUUUCGUCGGGUUCCGAGACGUGGGUCCCACUCCUAACUUUUCGAGCGGUGUUGAGAAUUUUUAUAAAUUGUUAAAUUUCAAGCAUUAGAGUAUAUUUUUGAUUAAUUUGCACGUUGUUUGACUAGUUUCGUAUUGAACGGCACCAAUUUGGGGCUUUAGAGCGAAAUUAUGGCCGGAAAGUGGGAUUUGAGACGAGGUAAGUCUCUUGUCUAAUCUUGUGAGGGAGAAAUUACCCCAUAUGUGAUUAAAUUAAAUAAUUGUUGCUAAUUGUGGGGGUUACAUACGCACGAGGUGGCGAGAGUCGGUGCGUAGCUACUAUUAAUGCUAAAGUCCGAGUAGUUUAGGACUCAAAAGCAUGAAUUACUUGUGUNNNNNNNNNNNNNNNNNNNNNNNNNUUUCUUGUGAAGCGGACCGAACGUCUCGGCAGGAUAGAUGCAUCUAUGGAUCGUGCCGCACAUCCCUCGGCAGUGUACACGAUACCUCUGGAUCGGGCCGAACGACCUCGGCAGAAAUCGUGCUUGAUAAUAAUAAUAAUUACACGAUACUGGGACAGUUUAUUGCAGCUUGUAAAGCUAUUUGAUUAAUUGAAAAUUUAUUGAAAUUGAAUUGCAGUUUGUAAAGCUAUUUGAUAAAUUGAAAGUUUUAUUGAAAUUGAAGGAUUUAAUUAAUAGAUUGGAAAUUGUUGCAUUUGAAGGAUUUUUAUUAUUUCUGCUAAUUGAAUAAAAUUAUUGUUAACUCUGUGAAUCAUGCUGAUUUGAAUAAUUAUAAUUCAUUCCAUUUAUUAUUGAUGACCCUUAGUGAGUGUCAAAGUUGGCCAUCUCGUCUCUACCACUUCGAGAUUAGGCUUGAUACUUACUGGGUACACGCUGUUUAUGUACUCAUGCUGUACUUUUUGUGCAGGACCUGAGACAAGUACUAGUGGGGGACCUAUCGUCUUCACCCACAUUUUUCAGGGGCAUAGUGGUGAGCUGCUUUCUGAGCCAUCCUGCAGCUACCGGUGCCUCUUCUUGUAUUUUUAAUUCUGUCCAUUUUCAUUUCAGGCAGUAUUUGGAGUUUUGUAUAAUCUACUAGAUGCUCAUACACUUGUGACACCAGGUCUUGGCACAUACAUUGGUAAACUUUGGUGUCUUAUUAUUUUUCUUGGAUUUUAAUUUUAUCGAUAUAUGUUUAAUUU